GACCAACCCUUCAUCUUUAGCUCUUGGGAGAUUUAAGGAAGAAGCAGGAAGGUUUCUGACACUUCUCUGUUUCUUUUAGAAAGUCAAACCCUUCUAGAGUCUUCACCAUGGUCUGGGCUCUGUCCUUCCUUGCACUUCUCAGCUACUUCUCAGGUAAGAAUUUGGAGAAGUCCUUUCCCAUUAGAAACCAGAGAAACUAUUUAUACCGUGAAUUUUAUUAUUGUGCCUCUCUGAUAUUUGUGAACGUAAUAAGUGAACCAAGUUCAUUCCCAAAAGUUUUUACGUUUGUAAAAAACAACAACCCAGAAGCUUUUCUUUUGGGAAUUAUAGACAAAGAACUACAUAAAAUCUAUGGAAAUUUAUUUAUGUAUGCAGAUACGGCAGCAGGAAUGCUACUCGACCCAAAAAUGCAAAGAUACAAAAACUUACGGAAUAUGCAGAAAUGGCAAAACUUACCAGAAGAAUAAGAAAUCAAUAUGACACAUUUUUUUAUAUAAAAGAAUAGAAAUGGUUUAUUGGAUAUUUACAGAUAAAUUAUAAACAGAUAAAAACAUUGGCAGGAUUAUUGUAACAACCUGCAAUUUCAUAAGAGUAUAUCUUUAUAUAGAUAAUUAAAUAAAUUUGGAUAUGCAGAUGAUAUUAAAAAAUAAAUUUAAGGAACUGUAGAAGGAGGGGGAAGGAAGUCAAACUUUGAAAUGUUAAAAUGAUUGUAGAAUUAAUUAAAUGUAUACAUUUGAAAAGUAUAAAUAAAAACUAAAAAAAAAACUAAAACAAGUUCAUUUCUCCCCUUUUCCCCCAAAGGAGUCAUUUCACAACCUUCUGUGACUCAACCUGCCUCUGAGUCUGUGUCUCCGGGACAAACAGCUAAACUUUCCUGCACAGCCAGUGGCAGUACAACCAUGUACUGGUAUCAACAGAAACCCGGACAAGUCCCUCGCUAUUUGCACUGUGAUGGAUGCAGCAGCAGGGGACCAGGGAUCCCAAAUCGGUUCACUGCUUCCCGCUCUGGAACCGCGGGCCACUUAAGCAUCACCAACCUUGAGAGCGAAGAUGAGGCUGUUUAUUACUGUGCUGUUUGGUUAAGCAGCUCGUUC